AUUAAAAUGGCAUUAAUAUUAAGGCGAUUUAAUAUAACCGCCGUAUUAUCCCCUUAUUUCAAGAUUUUUCUCUUAUGCCAUAAUGUCUAUGUUAAAAGCGCUACAUUUUGGCAUUUGUUGUACCCGCCACCCUCUCCAUUUGUUUUAUUAUUUUUUUUAAUAAAACUAAAAGAGCAGAUGAGAGUGAGUGAAGUGAUGCUGACAUAUGAGAGUGAGAAUACGAAACCUUAACAAUCGUGUCACCGUUCAUCUCCACAACGAAGUCAUUGUUGCCUCCGAUUGAGCUUUUGCGACUUGGUUCUUUGGUCUCGAUCUGAAGUUUGCCACCACCAUAAGCGAUGUCGUUGUUGCUGGCCUCCGAUUGUGCUUCUGCGAUUUGGUUUUUCUUCUUUGUGAAUCACUAAUUACUAAUUCGAUCUACUUCAUCUUCUUAUUUGGAUUUUUCUAAUUAGAUCUUCAUAUUUUUUGAUCUGGUUCAUGUCUAUAAAGCUGACGAAUUUGUUGCUAAUAUAUUCCCAAUUGCAGAUUUUUAGUUUCGCAACUGAUUUUUCAUUUGAUUAUUAGAUCUCUGUUUGUAACUGAUAUUUCGUAACUGAUUGCUAAUAUUUUUCAUUUGAUUUUUAGUUUCGUAACUGAUUGUGAUAUUUGAAUUAUUAGAUCCAUUUUCUGAUUCUCAAUUUUUGUUUCAAUGUAUCGAUUAGCUUCCAAGCUAGCCUCCUCCAUCACUUCGUUGACCUCAAGGAGCAUUAUACGCUACAGUGUUAUUUCAAGUAGAAACUAUACGAGCAAAGACAUCAACUUUGGCGUUGGAGCUCCUGCUGCAAUUCUUCAGGGUGCCACUAAGGUUGCUGAUGCUGUCAAAGUUACCAUGGGACCCAAGGGUCGUAAUGUGAAUUAGGGUCAAGCAACAAGGAUCAUCAUCAUAGUCUAGGUUAGAAUUGAUCUGGAACUAUUUAGAAGAUGGAAGCUACUUAAAUAAGAAGUACUUGAAAAUAGACAUCAUCUUUUCAUUCAUCUGGUGAGUAUUAACAUCAUGAACUUAAAUAAUCACUUUAUUGAAUCCAACAAGUAAAAAUACAUGUUGCGGGGGAAACUUGUAUAAUACAUGUUACGUAUGCCAUAAUCACUUUGUGGUCUAGUGAUCUUUAUGAUUUGAGGAUUUUACCAGAUGCAGGCCAAGAUUUGUACAUUAGAGUGCCAGCUUUAGAGUUAGAGUCAAACAAUGGACACAAGGUCAAGAUAGGAGUUGGAGUUGGAGUCUCAGUUGGCAUAUUAUGUGGCCUUCUCUUAGCAUUCUGUUUGAUAUGGAAAAGACGAAAAAGGGCCACUCUGAAAGAGACUAAUGCAGCAUUAAAGGAUCAGUCCAAGGAAGAACAAGAGGAAGAUCCAGAGGUUCCAUUAUAUGACCUAUCAAUUAUAGCUUCUUCCACUGAUAACUUUUCACACAAAAAUAAGCUUGGAGAAGGUGGUUUUGGACUUGUGUUUCAGCCUAUUGACAAACAAUCUCUACUUGAUUCUGGGAUAUUUUGUUGUCUCAUUCAUGUUCUAAAUGGCCUUCUAAAUCCUGAUGUAACCAGUCAAUGAGCAAAUACUGCUAUUGAUGAUGAAGAGCAGUUGGUAUUACAAAAAGAUUAUAAUGGUGAUAUUGGGGAAGGGCGCCAACUUGAGUGGUCAUGGAAAAUGAUACUAAUGUGAAUUUGCUUCUUGAUGCUACUAUUACUGGCAAGACACAUUCUUGAAGCAUGAGCUGGACUUCAUUGAGAGAGUUGAGGAGCUGAAAGGAAAGGGUUUGGAUGAAUCAAUUUAGUGGCACCAUGAGGAACCACACAAGCAAGAGAAGCCCAUCAAGCCAAGGAGGUAACGUUUAAAAAUUGAGCGCUACGUUAACUUUGUUAACAUUUUCGGGCCUCCCCAAAGAUAAAAGUGAAGCGAGACACUCAUAAAGGGAGCCAGCAAGGCUCGAAGAGGGGAACAAAAGAAAAAGCAAGGGGCUCUACGUUGGAAUUUCCAACUGAGCGCUACUUUGGCCUGAGGCCUAGUUCGAAGGCUUGACACUAAGCAUGAUAGCGCUACGUUUCCUUACCAAACUGAGUGCUCCCCUGGAAGGUUCCCACACACCAAACCAACUUGAACCAAGGCAAUCCGGAUCCAUAUUCAUUCAAAGCCAAAUCCAAAUCAACCCAUUGAAGCCCCAAAACAAGCAAAGCCCAUGGACAUCACUCAAAGGCACAAGAACAAGCUAGAUUAGGAAUUUUAUUUAAUUUGUAAUUUGUUUUCAAUUUCAAUUUUAUUUUUAUUUUGUAAAGCCUAUAAAAAGGCAUCAGUUUCAUUUCAUUAAGGAGGCUGGCUCCAUUAGGGAGCAGUAGGAGUAGGAGUAGAGUAGAGAACUCUCUUUUAAUUUUCCUGUUUGAAUUUGAGAAUUGGAAAUCAGAUCUAAGUUCUCUUUUCUUCUCUGCUUCA